GCCAGCAUCCAUUUCUAGAUUUGAGUGAUAAGACAAUGAAUAAGUUAAUACUUGUCUUGUUACUAAAUCUUUGAAAGCCAGAUUAAUUUUUGUUGAAAGACAAAAAAGCUCCUGGAAGCCUCUUGAUCAGCCAAGGGGGUUUUGCACUGCUCUUUGUGAAGUCAGCCCUCCCUUUGUUAGUGAGCUUUCUGUGGUGCUUGUGAUAAUACCAUUAGGCAAAAGAAAUUUUCUAGUUCAGCCACAGUGACAAGCAUAUCUUUAUUAAGAAGAUUUAUCAUUAUGUAAGUCUUCUUACUUCCUCUAUCUUGUUUUUGUCACAUUCCAGUAUUCAGAGAUUGCUGGAAAAUGUCUGUUGUUGGAAAGUUCGUGCUAUAGGAGAUUUCAGCUAUAAGAAGACCCAUAAAUCAUCCCAUUCUUUGGCAGUGUCUUUGCCACAUGAGAUGUCCCUGAUAAAUCGUAUUGUGAGGACAAGCUGCUGCAUCACUGAUCUGAAGAAGGGCUUUCUCUUUUAAGACUGCAAGAAGAUACUACUAACUGGUAAACACUUGUCUGGGUUUCUUUGCUUGUGGAAUAUUUGUUUGUUUUCCAUAAUAUUUUAGGCCAAGGAAUACAAAGUAUUUUGAUCUGUUGAAAACAAGAAGUAGUUAAUGUAGUAUUUUUUCUUUCUAAUUGUCUGUAGCUCACCAGACAAAAGACUCUGUAGCAGUGGAUAACGUGUGGGUAUUUAAAUUGGAAUACAAAUUGAUUAAAUUCCUGCUCUCUCAAUAGAAGAAAAAAGACUGGUUGUUUUUUUUUUUUUCCCUGUAAUGGCUAGUUAGACAGUUUGUUUGGCUUUUUAGCUGAGACAAAUACAAUGUGUCUGUACUGUGUCCUAUAUAAAUACUAUUUGAAGUGUGAUAGUGCAAGCAGUGAAAUUUCAAAUAUAGUGCUGCAGAGUCUGGAGAGAGAAAAAAGGAAGCCUUAACAGAAGUCCAGAUGCUUUGGAAGAUGCCAUUAAUGUGCUUGUAAUUAUUCAAGGGAUAUUUGUUGAGGCCUAAUUUUCACUCAGAAUAAUUUAUGAUAAUAAAACUAAGGCUAUCUUGUGAUUCCCAGACACACCAAGUCAUAUGCAGGCUGCUUUUAGCUACAGAACAGUAAUAGGAUCAUCAGUGAAGAGCCAUGACCGCCUAAUAGCAGUUUACCAGUCUGUAAGUUAAGAUCACAGCAAUCAAAAGGAGACCUGAGAAUUUAGGAUAUUUGAAUGUCUUGACACAUGUAAAUAAUGUGCACAUUGAUAGUGGGUAUCAGAGUUAAAGCUCUCUUCUCAAAUUCUUAAUGUCGUAGAUGAAGUAGCAGUUUUCCUCUGUAGUUAUACUUUACUGUAAACCUUCUGUAAAGCUUGGAUCUAUCUUUCUGUUUACUGCUGCCACUUGAGCUGCAGGGCUUGUAAAUUUGUGUCAAAAGAGAUUCUUAGCCCAAAUGGGGUGAUGUGGCUGGGUUCAAGGAUGAGCACAGAAAGAAACACAUCCUAGUCAAUAAGAAAACACUAAGCUUUCAUGACUUAAGUGUUUACAGAUGCUUUAUUAAUCUUCACUUGCCAGUUAAUUUGCCUAAGUUUAGCUGUUGCAGAGAAUAUUAAAAGGCUUGGUUUGGUUACUCUGCCAAACCCAGAUUAAUGAUAGGAAAGUUUUGAAAGCUUAUAGUAGUCAGCAAUGUGCAUCGGUCAGAAUGGCAUA
ensembl:lncRNA